rnacentral:rRNA from 1 species
AACGAACGCUGGCGGCAGGCUUAACACAUGCAAGUCGAACGCAUCCUUCGGGGUGAGUGGCAGACGGGUGAGUAACGCGUGGGAACGUGCCCUUCAGUUCGGGAUAGCCCAGGGAAACUUGGGCUAAUACCGGAUACGUGCGAGAGCAGAAAGAUUUAUCGCUGAAGGAUCGGCCCGCGUCUGAUUAGCUAGUUGGUGGGGUAAUGGCCCACCAAGGCGACGAUCAGUAGCUGGUCUGAGAGGAUGAUCAAGCACAUUGGGACUGAGACACGGCCCAAACUCCUACGGGAGGCAGCAGUGGGGAAUAUUGGACAAUGGGCGCAAGCCUGAUCCAGCCAUGCCGCGUGAGUGAUGAAGGCCUUAGGGUUGUAAAGCUCUUUCACCGAAGAAGAUAAUGACGGUAUCCGGAGAAGAAGCCCCGGCUAACUUCGUGCCAGCAGCCGCCGUAA